UUGAACGCUGGCGGCAUGCCUUACACAUGCAAGUCGAACGGCAGCACGGGUGCUUGCACCUGGUGGCGAGUGGCGAGCGGGUGAGUAAUACAUCGGAACAUGUCCUGUAGUGGGGGAUAGCCCGGCGAAAGCCGGAUUAAUACCGCAUACGAUCUACGGAUGAAAGCGGGGGACCUUCGGGCCUCGCGCUAUAGGGUUGGCCGAUGGCUGAUUAGCUAGUUGGUGGGGUAAAGGCCUACCAAGGCGACGAUCAGUAGCUGGUCUGAGAGGACGACCAGCCACACUGGGACUGAGACACGGCCCAGACUCCUACGGGAGGCAGCAGUGGGGAAUUUUGGACAAUGGGCGAAAGCCUGAUCCAGCAAUGCCGCGUGUGUGAAGAAGGCCUUCGGGUUGUAAAGCACUUUUGUCCGGAAAGAAAUCCUUGGCCCUAAUACGGUCGGGGGAUGACGGUACCGGAAGAAUAAGCACCGGCUAACUACGUG
rnacentral:rRNA from 1 species